GGUGGGGCUAAUGACUGGGGUGAAGUCGUAACAAGGUAGCCGUACCGGAAGGUGCGGCUGGAUCACCUCCUAACAGGGAGACAACAAAAUGUUAAAUAUUAAUUUUGUCACCUUAGGUCGAUCGGUACCUCAGAUUCUUAAUUUCUUUAAGAAUUUCAAUUCCUAAGUUUUUUCUAGGUCACACCCAUUAUUUUCCCUGGGCCAUUAGCUCAGGUGGUUAGAGCGCACCCCUGAUAAGGGUGAGGUCCCUGGUUCAAGUCCAGGAUGGCCCAUAUCUCUAUGUUGGGGGUAUAGCUCAGUUGGUAGAGCGCCUGCUUUGCAAGCAGGAUGUCAGCGGUUCGAGUCCGCUUACCUCCACUGAUCACCACCUCUUCCAUAGUUCAUAUUGGGAAAAUUAUUGUGAUGAUCUCUUAUUCUGAACGAAUCUAGCUUCCUAAUUAUUAUUUAUUAAGAUGCUGGACUCAUUGAAUUUUUUCAUUGUUUUCAGAGAACCUUGACAACUGCAUAGAUUAUUUUAAAGACAAUUAAGCAUCUAUAUAGAUGCAGAUUUAUUAUUUUUGCAAAUGCAUUAAUAACAAUUCUAUUGAGCUGAUGCUUCAAUUUUGAAGUUAUUGGUCAAGCUACAAAGGGCUCACGGAGGAUACC
rnacentral:misc_RNA from 1 species